rnacentral:rRNA from 1 species
UACGUAGGGAGCAAGCGUUGUCCGGAAUCAUUGGGCGUAAAGCGCGCGUAGGUGGCCCCAUAAGUCCGCUGUGAAAGUCAAAGGCUCAACCUUUGAAAGCCGGUGGAUACUGUGGGACUAGAGUACGGAAGAGGCGAGUGGAAUUCCUGGUGUAGCGGUGGAAUGCGCAGAUAUAAGGAAGAACACCGGUGGCGAAGGCGGGUCUCUGGGCCGAUACUGACGCUGAGGUGCGAAAGCGUGGGGGAGCAAACAGG